GAAAAACAAGGCGAGUAAGCAUAGAAGGAGAUAGAUCCUGAAUUACUGACCCCAUUUUUGGACCAAAACAGAACUGUCCUCCACUCUGUGGCCACUUCCGAGUGAAAGUUUGCAACUUUACGGAGAUCGAAGAUGACAAUGACGGCGAAGCUAAGUUCUAUGAAAACCAUGUGUUUAGCUUCAGCUUUCAGGAGCUUCCACUUUCCACUGCUAUGGGAUUUGGGAGUCGGUAACUUUCAUUAUCCAACCCUAUUGUUUACUUGCUGUUUCCAUUCUUCUUCUAGAUCAACUUCCACUCGCACGCAUAAAGAUGCAAGCUUGCUAUCUAAAUUCAAUUAUGCUUUUUUUAAGGACGUUAAUGAUGCCCUAGCUUCCUUUAAUCACAUCAUUCUUAUGCAUCCUCUGCCUUCUAUUGUUGAAUUUGGUCGAUUUUUAUCUGCUCUUGUCAGAAUGAAACAAUACCACACUGUUCUUUCCUUGUCCAGAACAAUUGAGUCCCUAGGAAUCUCACACAAUGUUCAUUCUCUUAAUAUCUUGAUUAACUGCUUCUGCCGCUUGCACCUUGUGGAUUUUGGCUUCUCAACUUUUGGGAAAAUCCUCAAAAUUGGAAUGGACCCCGACAUUGUGACAUUUAACACCUUAAUUAACGGCCUCUGUGUAGAGGGUAAAAUCAAUCUAGCAGUAGACUUUUUCAAUGAUAUGGUUGCAGGAGGUUAUCAACCUGAUGUUUGUACUUACAAUGUGAUAGUAAAUGGACUCUGUAAAUUUGGGAAAAUAGAUGUGGCUAUUGAGUUGUUGAAAGAAAUGGUUGAGAGAGGUUGUGAGCCAGACACCGCGACAUACACUGCAAUAAUCGAUGCCCUAUGCAAGGAUAAGCUAGCUGUUGAGGCUUUAGACAUGUUCUCCCAAAUGAGAAAUAAAGGCAUCUCACCUAAUGUCAUCACAUACACCAGCUUAAUUCAUGGUCUUUUCAAAUUAGGCAAACAAAAUCAAGCUUUGGCCUUGUUGAAUGAAAUGGUACGGAAUAAAAUAUCACCAGACGUUUAUACCUUCAAUGUGUUGAUUGACAUUCUUUGUAAGGAAGGAAUGGUUUUUGAGGCUCAAAAUACAUUUAAAAUAAUGAUUCAAAGAGGUGUAGAGCCUAAUGUGGUCACAUACAGCUCCUUAAUUGAUGGCCUUUGCAUUUCAGACCAAUGGAAGGAAUCUUUAGCCUUGUUGAAAGAAAUGGUGUGGCGGAACAUAUCCCCUAAUGUUUUUACCUUUAGUAUAUUGAUUGACACUCUUUGUAAGGAAGGACUGGUUUCAAAAGCU
rnacentral:misc_RNA from 1 species